CAGUCGCCGCGGUAAUACGUAGGGUGCGAGCGUUAAUCGGAAUUACUGGGCGUAAAGCGUGCGCAGGCGGUUAUAUAAGACAGAUGUGAAAUCCCCGGGCUCAACCUGGGACCUGCAUUUGUGACUGUAUAGCUAGAGUACGGUAGAGGGGGAUGGAAUUCCGCGUGUAGCAGUGAAAUGCGUAGAUAUCGGAAGGAACACCAGUGGCGAAGGCGGCUACCUGGACUGAGACUGACACUGAGGCGCGUGAGCGUGGGGAGCAAACAGGAUUAGAUACCCCAGUAGUCCCUGUCUCUUAUAC
rnacentral:rRNA from 1 species